rnacentral:tRNA from 1 species
GCCGGAGUGGCGGAAUUGGUAGACGCAAGGGACUUAAAAUCCCUCGCUUGUUAAACGGGCGUGCCGGUUCAAAUCCGGCCUCCGGCA